UCGGGCAAGGGGAGACAGUUGUCUGGGGGCCCCACUGCCUGGAGGGGCCCCCCAGAGGCACCUCACGUGACUCCCCAUUGCCCCCUGCCCAGCCCCAAGGCCCCUCAGCCACUUGCCCUGUUCGCCGUCUCUCCAGCUUGUUCUCCUGGCCGGCAAUGGAGGCAGCAGACAAGCUGCAAAGAAUUCCUUUUCUCCCACCUCUCAGCUGAUCGGCGGGUGGGCGGGGAGGUCUGGUGUAGGCCUCUGUGAAGCCUGAACUCCAGUAGGGCCCAAGCCAGCCAGGAAGGAGGAGGCAGCCAGAGAGGCCUCCACUGUUCUCUGCAGCAGAAGACCCCCUGCUGCCAGGACUAGAACAUCUUUCUGUUCUCUUUCCACCUGCUAAAUAAAGGAAAGCAACCUUCCACAAGAAACAAAGAACAGAGAGACAGCACACAUGCCAAGUUCCACCUCCCUGAUGCAGGCAGUACUUUCUGGCUUCAAUGAAGGCCACCCCAGAUGUACAUCACCUGCCUUAUUGUUUCUAGUAACUAUCCUCCAGUGUGCACCUACAUGAGGCUUUUUUCAGGUUCCCAGACAGACAAAUCUGGCUGGUAAACAGUGUUGUUGUUUUUUAAUUGCUUAUUGAUUUAAGUGAGAAACAUGUGCUCAGUUGCCACCCUUCCACUGAAAAAAAGUGGCCAACUUCUAGAGUGAUAAAGCACUGCUGCUGCUGCUUUCUGUGAAUACUAAUAUUGCCCUGGUGAUUGAGCAGAAUGCAGGGGUGGGACAAUUUUCACUGAGCUCCCUUUCCCCUGGAAGCAAAAAAUGAAAGCAAUGGUAUUCUCUAAUAGUUUUAAGACACACAGAUGGCGUAUAGAUAACCAUGAUAUAGACCAAAUCAAACACUUAAAAUAUCUGUUUUUCAGGCCUCUAGAAAAAAAAAAUAGCACAAGCUAAUUACAUUUCUUCCUUGGGUCAAAGAAGUGCUGCAGCAAUUUUAAAAUUCCAUCGAACUCAAGGUGGGAAUUCUCUCCCAGCUGCUUUCAAACGAUUUAUUGCAAGGUCAGUAGUUCAACUCCUAUACGGAGCGCAACUAGGCCCUUGUGCUAAGUUCGGACCCUUGGAAAAUGUGCAGUCUGCUUUCUUAAGAUCCCUUUUUUAAAAUUCCAAGAUGUGUUCCAAAGGUGGCCUUGAGAUCAGAGGCUGGGCUAAUUAGAAUUUAAGCCAAAGUUUGGGUAGCUAUGCUAGUUGUAUGGCUAAGGAUAACUGAUUCUGAUUGGCUUGGCUUCCUUAUUACUAACUGAUAAUUAUUGUUCUAACAGAAGUGUAUUGAAGGCAAAUUGUUUUCAUGUGGCCUCUAACCACAAUUUUUAUUAGUCUUGAAAAGGCCAAGGAUAUAAUCAGACAGUGGGUCUGGGAUUUGGAACGUUAGAAUGACUUAAGUCUAACUUGAAGAACAUACCAUCCUCUUAGAGAAUUCAUGAGAUCUUCUCCAGCAGCUUACUUCUCUUCACUUACUAUUGCCAAGUUCUGAUGGGCAUUUACUAAUGCCCCCUUUAAUGCUCUCCUUUGAAACUAUUAGAGGGCAGAUACUGCAAUAUCCCAGUCUCCCAACAGUUAAGCCCUAGUGAUUUUGAUUAUACUGAGUCAAUAGUCCAUGUUCUCUUAUGAUGUGUAUUUUACCUAUAUCUUUGGACUAGGUUAAACCAGUCCUUAUUUUAAAAAUUGCCAGGUCUAUGCUUAGCUUCAGCAAUUCUGCAGCAUCAGAUGCUUUUAGACCAAUAACUGCACUCAACAACCUUAAUUAUUUUGAAACAAUAUAUUUUAUUUAUUCAUUCAUCACAUGCUUAUAAACCAAUUCACAGACCUCAAGGCAGUUUACAAGGAAAAUCAACAAUUUUCCAAUCACAAAGCAGUUAAAACAAUCUAUACCAAUAAUUUAGUUCAAAGUGUUUAGUAUUAAUAUUGUUAUACUCUACUUCUGAAUAGAUAUUCAAAUAUCUAUUAUUAAAUCUUAUUAAAUCUCUCAUUUUCACACAGAUUUGAAGAAGGUGUUUAUAAUAAUCAGGAACUUAUACAUAACUGGCCUUAUUUAAUGUAUAUGUUUCUUAUGCUAGAAAUUCAUAACACUAAAAUACGGAAAACAUUUGGACUUGGUGAGAGGGAUAUAGAAGUUUAUGUUGGUUACGAGGAAAUAAUGAGUUCUUUGAAGUCCCACGUGGAAAUAUGGCAGCCCCACUUUGAUAGGAAGGCUGGUUACAGCCCUGUGCAUUUGAGGUCCAAGGUUGGAGUACGACAAGCAGGUAUGCAUAUGUACAUGGAUUUCAGUGGGACUUCCCACUUCCAUAGCAUGAAGGAACACCAUUCAAGUUUUGUGGAGUUGAGAAGUAUGACUGUGCUAACAAUUUAUGGAGGCCAACAUGGGAAGAUGAAAUAACUUUGGACCAUGCAGUUAAACCAGAUAUAUAGUUCAGAGUAUGAGGCAAUAUAACAAAUGAAACAAAGCACUGUGAACAAUGUACUUAUGUAUCAAGAUUGUCCUAGUACAGCAAAAGUCUGUGGUCUUGUUUCAAUGAACUGCAGAAUGAAUUUAAUACCUGUGAAAGCAGAACAGUCCAAAGGCAUGAAAGGACCUCACAAGGAGACCUGUCUGGAAGGUGACUUGAAAGGGAACUCACAAGAGGUGCAAAAGGGUCUUGACUAUCUUUGUGUAGCAAAACAACAUCACCAUAAAAGGAAGCAAAAGACCUAAAAUGUUGAUUUCCAGAGAGGUAAAAAUUCUCCAAUUUCCCUUGUACACUGGCUUACAUGUGGUUUGAUUAUAGUAACGAGAAGCUUUGCUAAAUAUCAGCUGUGGAAGAGCAGCCGAGAUGGCCACUAGCCAUACAACAAGACUGGCAAGAAUGCCAUAGUUGACAGUUCUUGCUCUCAAGGCAAACACAACAUGAACAACUGCGAGAUACCUAUCGAUGCUCAUGAGCAUGACAAAAAAUGUCCCACUGUAAAAUCCAAGCAGAUAGACCCAAGAGAUGAACUUGCACAAACCAUCUCCAAAGACCCACUCGUCAGCCACAUAAUAAGACCAGAAAGGAAGAGCAAAAACAAAAAGCAAGUCAGAGAUUGCAAGAUUUAGUAAGUAGAUAUCAGUCAUGCUUCUCAGUCUCUUGUAUUUAAGCAGCACGAGGACCACAAGGGCAUUCCCUAUCAAGCCGAACAGGAACACCAGUGAAUAAAAUGUGGGAAGGAACCACAACUCAAAAUUCCUCACUCCUUCUUUGCUGCAUAGCUCAGACUCUUCAUCACUGAUAUCACCAUAGUCAGAAUAUAACGUGAAUUCCUCCGUGGUGGUUUUGGUGACUGCUUUCUGUGUAGCAGAACUCAUUUUCUGUUUUGAAACCUAAGCACAAGGAUAAAGGGUGUCAAAAUGGGAAAUCAAUAUAUUUUUACCCAAAGUAGCUUUAGCAAAAAUAUGAAAGAGAAAUCAAAGACCACAAAACAAGACCACAGAGGUUUUUUAAAAAAAAAUGCAGCCUGUAGAUCACAACAGCAAAUUCCAAAGGCCUUCAGGAUUUCAAUAAUAGAAUCUCAGCUCUCACAUUUGAAGUCAAUAAAAUAAGAAUAAGACAUAAGUAUAUAUGAGAUCAUCUGGAGAGGUUCAUCUCCAGUUGCCACCAGCUCAUCGUUCUUGCCAUGAGGACAGGCCUUCUCUGUUGCUGGCUGCCCCAAGAUGAUGGAAUGUGCUCCCUACUGAAAUACGAGCCUCCCCAUCUCUGACAACUUUUAAAAGCACUUGAAGACUUACCUCUUCACCCAAGCUUUUUAAUCUGACUCCGGUUUUAAAUUAUCUUAAGGUUUUUAUUUCCUGUGUUUUAACUGGUUUUAUGUUGCUGUAAUCCUCUCAGAGAUGAAAGUUUGGGGCGGUGUACAAAUUUGAUAGAUAGAUAGAUAAACAUAUUAAAAUGUCAUAUCUUGAGCCAGA